ACCCUGUGACGGGAGGCGGUGCAGGGGAGCGUGGCUGGGCUGCGGGUAACUGGGCGCUCGCUACUGCCAGGGCCACGCGUGCUGCCCGCGCCGUGUAAUUUCCGGAGCCAGCCUUCUCCGGACAGGCCCGAGCUCUUCCCGUACACACAGAUCCGUCACGCUACAGCUACUAGAGACAAGGAGCCGCUUCACUACCCAGCUCCCAUUCCUGCCCUGAGGCCUCUCUCGCCUGGGCACUGCGGGAAGCAGGAGAGUACGUGCUCCUGUCAUUCAAGACUAACAUCAGGAUCUUUGAAGACACCUAUGAGCUACAAAGACUUAGGGCCUCAUCCUGCCAAUAAUAUAUCCCUCAAUUCCCAUUGGCCUCAAUGGGAGUUCAGGGUGCUCAGUGCCCCUCAGGAUCAGACCCUACAGAAGAGAAUUGGGAUGUAUCGCCAUGCAUCUUGAAAGAUGGGGAAACUGAGGCACACAGCAGAGAAGUGACUUGUGCACAGUCAUCCAGAAGAUCAAUGGCAGAGCCAGAAUUUGAACUCAAGUCUCCAGAGUCCCAAUCCAGCACCCUAUCUAGUGGACAACACCUUUGCAUAGGCUUUGGUAAUGUGGACCAAAUUGCCUAAGCACUUGCUAAAAAUAGAUCUUCGAUAACUCAUUUACUUUGUCUCUGCUAUAUGCCACAGGAGAAAGUUAUGGGCUGCUUUCUGCACUGAUAUUACUGUUUACUACAUUGGUUCAGAGUAAUUCCAUUGAAGUUAAUGGCAUGACACGUACAUAAAACCAGUGUAAGUGAGAUCAGAAUCACAUCCUUUGACAUCAACUGAUUUACACUAGUGUAACUGAAAGCAGCAUUUCACCUGCUGUUUAGAGCAGAUAUUUCUUUCAUCAUGAGCCAAGAGUUUAAAUCAUUAAUGUGUUUCUUUUAUAGGAUCCUCCUUCUCACAUUGACAAGUCAACUCGCCCUCAUUGUCUGGGGCAAGAGCAGCCAAAGUUAAAAACCUGCAGCAGAUGCAGCUGAUUGGAAUGGGUCAGUGCAUACAUCUGCCUUUGACUCUCAGCUCACAUAGACAUACCUGCACUAGCUCUGCUCAAGCUAGCAACUAUAGACAGCAGUGGAUCUGCGGCAGCACAGGCAGCUACUCGGGCUAGCCGCCCUGAGUACAGUCCCACCCUGCUCCCAGGUACAUGCUCGGGUAGCUAGCCCAAGCCACCCCCCAUGCCAUCACAGAUGCACUGCUAUUUUUAGGCACUAGCUCAAGCAGAGCUAGCGUGGGUACAUGUACACAAACUGGGACUCAGACUUCCCAGCUCAUACGUAGAGGUAUACAGUCUGAGCAUGUUACACCUGUGCUCCGCACUAUAUUAAUUACCCCAUCUGUUUCUAUGUCUAGUUCAAGCUGUUGUUUUUAAUCUGUUAACACCUAUGUGGUUUGGGACUUAGCUACUUUAGAAACCAUUUCUUUUCUCAUGUCCCACUGUGCAAAAUUCUCCUUUGUGCACAGAGCCAACAGAAGCCUUAGGCACAUCUUAUGCCCCCCUCAAAAUGGAACUCAAGGAGUGCUUUGGCCUUGUCUGUCCCUCUACACAGGGGAGAAUUCCACCCCAUUGUGAGAGCUGAGAUCAGCAGAGAUGCUUUUGCUGGCAGGGCCAGGAUGGUGCACCCAUUCUCAAUGGAGGCUCCCUGACAGUGAAACUUAGUCCAUCAGACCUCAGGUCAGUUUGCCUUCAUAGCAUGGUGCAAAACUCAUCUUUAUGGCCCUACCUUUGCCAGAUGGCUCUAAACCAAAGCUCUGUCUUUUAUUUUUCUCUUUCUCAGAUUUUUUUCCCAUUAGAUGGAUAGGUAACAGGGACGGGGUUAACAUUGCUGCCCUUUGUGGGCAUUUAUAGACUGAUGUUUUCUGUUAUGUGUGAUGUGCUCAGAUACCACAUCAAUUGACAUAAUAAAAUAACAAUAAAAUACUUAUAAUAAUACAGGGGAGAGAGAGGAAAUACUGAACAGCAGCUUUCCAACCAAGUGGGAGCUAAAAAUAGAGCAUGAUAAUAAAAAUUAAAGGAAAUUUUUGCUGGCACACACACAUCAGAAUAAACCUGGCUUAGGUAAUAACUGAGAUUAAACAGACUGCACCUCAUCU